GUUUGUGUCUGUCGUGUGGAAGCUUUGUUCAUUCGUCUUUUGCAAUAAAUCUUGCUACUGCUCAGUCUUUGGGUCCACACUGCUUUUAUGAGCUGUAGCAGUCACCACGAAGGUCUGCAGCUGCACUCCUGAGGCUAGCGAGACCACGAACCCACCGGGAGGAGCGAACGACUCCAGACGCGCUGACUUAAGAGCUGUAACAGCUUACCGCUAAGGUCUGCAGCUUCACUCCUGAGCCAGAGAGACCAGGAACCCACCUAGAAGGAACAAACUCCGGACAUGCCGCCUUUAAGAGCUGUAACACUCACCGCCAGGGUCCGCAGCUGCAUUCUUGAAGUCAGUGAGACCAAGAACCCACCAAUUCCAGACACACUGUCAUCA
rnacentral:lncRNA from 1 species